rnacentral:rRNA from 1 species
GACGAACCACCCAAACGUUAUUCGGAAUUACUGGGCGUAAAGCGUGCGCAGGCGGUGCACCAAGCUCGAUGUGAAAGCCCCGGGCUUAACCCUGGGAAUUGCAUUGAGGACUGGUGUGCUCGAGUGCGGCAGGAGGGGGGUGGAAUUCCACGUGUAGCAGUGAAAUGCGUAGAGAUGUGGAGGAACACCGAUGGCGAAGGCAGCCCCCUGGGCCGACACUGACGCUCGAUGCACGAAAGCGUGG